rnacentral:rRNA from 1 species
GGGCGUAGAGGGCUCGCAGGCGGUUUCUUAAGUCUGAUGUGAAAGCCCCCGGCUCAACCGGGGAGGGUCAUUGGAAACUGGGAAACUUGAGUGCAGAAGAGGAGAGUGGAAUUCCACGUGUAGCGGUGAAAUGCGUAGAGAUGUGGAGGAACACCAGUGGCGAAGGCGACUCUCUGGUCUGUAACUGACGCUGAGGAGCGAAAGCGUGGGGAGCGAACAGGAUUAGAUACCCUGGUAGUCCACGCCGUAAACGAUGAGUGCUAAGUGUUAGGGGGUUUCCGCCCCUUAGUGCUGCAGCUAACGCAUUAAGCACUCCGCCUGGGGAGUACGGUCGCAAGACUGAAACUCAAAGGAAUUGACGGGGGCCCGCACAAGCGGUGGAGCAUGUGGUUUAAUUCGAAGCAACGCGAAGAACCUUACCAGGUCUUGACAUCCUCUGACAACCCUAGAGAUAGGGCUUUCCCUUCGGGGACAGAGUGACAGGUGGUGCAUGGUUGUCGUCAGCUCGUGUCGUGAGAUGUUGGGUUAAGUCCCGCAACGAGCGCAACCCUUGAUCUUAGUUGCCAGCAUUCAGUUGGGCACUCUAAGGUGACUGCCGGUGACA